UACGGGGGGGGCAAGCGUUGUUCGGAAUUACUGGGCGUAAAGGGCUCGUAGGCGGCCAACUAAGUCAGACGUGAAAUCCCCAGGCUCAACCUGGGAACUGCGUCUGAUACUGGAUGGCUUGAAUUCGGGAGAGGGAUGCAGAAUUCCAGGUGUAGCGGUGAAAUGCGUAGAUAUCGUAAGGAAGACCAGUGGCGAAGGCGGGUCUCUGGACAGUUCCUGACGCUGAGGCACGAAGGUCAGGGGAGCAAACGGG
rnacentral:rRNA from 1 species